UGUAGUGUUGCGUUAAUCGCCACUUUGGCGGCUGUGAGAAAACAUUCCACAGGCCGACGGUUUUUCGUGAAAAAGCCAUAUUUUCAAGUACGAGGAAACAAGAAUGCCGACCUGUGCGUUAAUCGCCAGUUUGGUGGCUGUGGGAAAACAUUCCACAGGUUUCCAGUUCCCCGUCACGCCUUGCGACGGCCGCCAUCUUGUGUGUCAUGGAGGUCAGAGGACACAGGUGAUAGGGGGCGUGGCCUAGCACGCAACAAAACACCGGCAUUCCUGACACACCUUGACCGCACGCAGCAGGAAGCGCGUCCGCUCGGAUGAAGAACGACAAAUAUUGCGGUGCAAGCAUCGGUUUGGGAGAGCAACGCACUGGAAAGGAAAAAAUGAGAAAUUGCACCAGCGAACGUGGACCCCCCCCAAACCAAAAAGAGUGUGCAGCACAUACGGGGGAAGAGUUGCAAAUGGCUGCAUCAACUUUGCCCACGCACGAGCACGCAAGUUAGCCUAACAUGCUGGAGGCGUCUUCUGCGAGCCUUUUGUGGUCUGUUUUUUAAAAUAAACGUUCCAGGACCUGCGGAGCGCGACGCCGCGUCUGCUUCCCCAUCUUGAAAAACAGGAAGUCAAAAGCCCCUCCGCGUCCCCGUGCUACAUCCCUCUCCGAGCUGAUCAACUGAUAAACUGUGUCAGAGUCGACUGGAAUUUAAAAAUAGACGAACGUGACGCGGCGGAGUGACCACGUCUUUCUAGAAAUGAAAGCAGAGAUGCACACGACACUGUGGCAAGACCAAAGGCGGAGUCCGGACCAAAAGCCGUGCAGAGUCGACUUCGCACCACGUUGUGGAGUGACCACUGGAACGUAAAACACUGAUGCAGACGACGUUGUGGGGCGACCAAAAAGUCGUAGUCCGCUCCGCACAGAGAAAGAAAAAGAAAACCCACAAGAUUGUGAACAUAGUUCCGGGUGGAGCUUUUUUUUUUUUUUUUUUGUGGAGGGGGCCCGGCAGAACUUGGAGGAAGACGUUUUGCAUCAACCUAUUACUGACGUUGACUUCGCCGAGCCGUACUUCAGACAACAUUGUCAAGCAACCGCAAGUCAGAGUCUGCCGAAAUGUAAACAUGGACGCUCAAAAGAUUGUCAGCGUCUACUAGAAUGUAAAGACGGCCGCGGGAAAACACUGUGGAGUGACCGCGUGAGUCCGCCGAAACGUAAAUGUGACCGCACGCAGCAUUGUUCAGCUACCGCGUCCGUUUAAUCCGCUAAAUAUUGUGAAGGGACAAAUCGGAGUCAACCAGAAUGGAGACAAGAAGUCAAACAACAUUGUGAAGGAAUACAUAAUUUGACUCACUUGAUUGAAAGCAAAAUUACAUUUUUGCUGCAAACAUAACCGUUUGAUCAACUUUCUGUGAAUUCGAACAAAAACUUUGACUUCGUCCACCAAUCUCACCGACCAAGGAGAAAUUUGGCCUGCAGCUCUGUCGUGACAGGAAGCACAUGAAAAAAAAAAAAAAACCCUCAAGCAACCAUGACCCAAAUUGAACAGGAAGUCGGACGUUUUGUUUCCUUCGGGGUUGAAAAGGAUUCAAAUGGUAACGAAAAACACAUCAAUUUACUGGCCACUGCACGGAAUUGGGAAGGAAGUCGCGUAUUUUGAUUUUCAUUACAUGACAGCCAAAAACAAAAUGGCCUCGGGUGUUGACCCCUGCUAAACGGUUACUUCUUUCCCUGACUUCUUUGAUGUAACGCUCAAACGAUGUUUUCGCGACGAUAUUAUAUAGUGAUGUGCGAGUACAGAUACCCGACAUCGGAGUUGGGCCAAAGUAUCGGAUGCCUGUGAAGGUUGCUGCUAGCAACCACCGAUACUUGAGAAAACAAAACAAAUUAGACACCCAAUAAGUCCUCCUCGCCAUUAGUUGGCGCUAGACUGUGGCGGCUGCGAAUCAUUGUGUGCCUCAGCAACAAUGAACUUUACGGCAUCCAAGUUACUCGUGCUACUAUUACUGAGAUGUACUGAAGAGUGAAUAGACUGCAAUUGACCAGUUGUGACACACAAGAUGGCGGACAUACAGACGGGUUUCUCAUUACCGGUAGUGACGACACACAAGAUGGCAGACAAGGGAAUCCUGGGACUGUGGUUACGUCAUCGGAAAUAGCGGUACCCGACAUCCCUUAAAUGAAGACAGAGGAUACAUUUGAUUGCCGUGAUGGGACAUGUAAAAACCCUGAAAGGACUCGACGUGGCCGGAACGUCUGCAAAGCUUUUUUUUCAAUACUUGGUGUCUCCAAAACAUUGUGCGAACAAGCAAACAAAACCCAACCAGAGGGACCAGCAAAAACUGUUAGAUAAUCCCUGGAAUUGGGACAGGGCAAACAGGCGUAAUCCUGCAUCUUUUUGACCAGUGACGUCACAAAAACGGAUGCGUGUACGUUCUGGAAGAUUCGAGGAGUUUUUUGUCAUUCCAGUGCCAAGUCUGGAACGCCGUCGCCAUGACAUCAUCCAGCCGCAAGGAAAACAAACUGCAUAACGUGACCGGCGGGAAGCUAAUUGGAGAUUUUCACAAGAAUCAGGAAAGAGGACAUUCGCCGGCCACAUGAUAUCACGUGGCGGGCCGGAUCUGGCCCCCCGGGCCUUGAGUUUGGCACCUCUGCUCUAGAUGAUCUACAUCUACUGCAUCUGGACUGUAUCUGCCUAUCGAUUUACUUCAGCUCUAGGUACACACGAGACCUGGCGAAUGAAGACGUGAAUGGUGAGCACUCCGGCAGGGGAUGAUGAAGUCAAUACGGCGCAACAAAAGCGACGAGAAGCCCCCCCCCCCCCCACCAUCCAAAGCAGCAGCAGCGUCCUUUGAUGUCCCCCAGGGGGGGGGGUCCGCUGACGUGCCGCUAGCCGUCACGGUCAACUGUGGACCACCCGGGGAUUACCAGGCCCACCGUUUGCUCUCCGGGGACCCGUGCGACCUUCACCCUAACCCUGCGCGGCGACCGCGGCCAAACAGACACAGUAGCGUCACACCCGCGCGGUGUUAGCGUUAGCAAACAGUAGCAUUUGGUCACGUUCCGCCUCGGUUAGUAUUUACACUGGUGCCUCGUAAUCUGCAUCUUAAUGGACUUUUUUUGUUGUAGCGAACAUUUUCAAUAGACUGCUGGUAAAAGUGGAAGACGAGUCUGGCGACUUUUGCGUGUUUAAGCACAAAGAAAAUGACUCAUGGAGAAUUUUCAGCAAAAAGAAAGUGGUUAAAUAUAUUUAUUAAUCAGAAAAAUUGAAUAAUCUUCGGAGCAUGAAAUGCCAUUUUGAAGUAAAUUUAAGGGUACUAAAGUCUGAUUUGUCAAAAAGUAAUUUCAUUUUGGAGGGGGGCAUUCCUGUUUUCUGUUUGAUUAAAAAAAAAAAAAAUCAAAUUGUGAAAAUUUACGAGACCAUUUUUUAAUUUUGAGAAACCAAAAUAAAGUACAUUUUCAAGAAAUACGUUAUGUUAUGAUCCAAAAUGUAAUUUACUAGUAAUAUAUAUAAUUUUUUUUAAAGGAAAAAAUUUGAGAAAAUUUUAAUUUUGGGGAAUAAUUUUGCAUUUGAAUUUCCACUCAAAAAUGUCAUAUUCUCAUAUAUUAUAUACUUUUAUAUAUGUACAGUUUUUCUUUAACUGAAUUUUACUACAAUGAAGCCAAAUUUGUGUUGUCACAGGUUUUUAAAAAAGUCAAAUUGUGAAAAUUAAAAUUAUUGUUUAUUGUUAUCUUAAUAGCACAGUUGCCUAUCUAUGUUUUUGCAAAAGAAAGAAAUAAAAAGACUAAAUGCCUUGCUUUUUAAAAAAUUGAUUUGGUGAUUGUGAGUGACACUUCUUCAA